GCCCUCGGUGGCUCAGAUGGAUAGAGCGUCUGCCAUGUAAGCAGGAGAUCCCAGGUUCGAGUCCCGGUCGGGGCA
rnacentral:tRNA from 1 species